UAGCAGGGUGCUGGCCAGCAAAUGUCUGAGAGAGCUAGCAGACCUACCUGUGGAAGUGACAGAUAAGGGUGCCAUAUCCUAUUCCCAUUCUCUGUUUCUGGGGAUACCAUAGACGCUGCACUGGAAAACAUGUUGUUUUGGCACAACCAGCCCAAGCACUACCAUCAGCAUUCAACUGCAAGUUAUAUUCGAUAUUUUGUCACCUUUCCUGAAACACGAUGAGGAAUGACAUGCAACAGAUAAUGGUGCCAAACUCUCCUUUUCAAUAUGUUCUCUGUGCAGCAACCUCGCCCGCUGUAAAACAGCAGGAUGAAACACUGACUUAUCUAAACCAAGGGUUUGGGCAGGUGCCAUCUUUGAAGACUUGGUAGUAUCAUCCAACUUCUCCCCUUCUGAACUUAGACAACACUACACACACCACUCAGAGCAUUGUGCAUGUGGUGUUUCACGACUGCCGCCUGCAGUACACAGAACAUCAGCAGCUGGAGGAAUGAAAAUGGAACAUACCGGGGCCAGGAUCCUGGAUAUAGAUAUUCCCCUCUCUGUGGGUGUCGUCAAGCCUCGUGCCCACUCGCUGCAGCACACCACUGUAAAGUUUCUCUGGGAUCCUGUCAAGAACACAUCCGUCUUCAUUCAGGUCAACUGCAUUAGCACCGAGUUAACCCCUAGGAAGCAUGGCGGGGAGAAGGGAGUGCCCUUCCGUAUCCAGAUAGACACCUUCACUCCGAACAAGCACGGAGAGUACCUGGAGCAUGUGCAUUUCUCCAGCUGUCAGGUCGAGGUCUUCAAGACAAAAGGAGCUGAUUGCAAACUGAAGACUGACAGGGGAAAGAUUGAUUAAAAAAAAGUCCUAUCAAGUUAAGUGCUUAUUGUUCCAGAACAAAUAGUGAUGGUUUUCUACUAACCUGGUUUUGGUUUCUUGGAUUUCCCACCUAUGUCUGUGUCAGACUACAAUCACAAUGUCCUAGUAAAACAUGAACCAGACUUGCCACGCUCUCUGCCAGGACCAUCUUAUUUGAGAGCGUUCUGCCUCUUUUGUUUCAGUGUUCCCUUUGGCCUGAUGCCCCAAAUCUCGGUAGCACUAACUGCACUCCUUUCCCAGCCUACCACAGCUCCCCUACUUCAUGUAGCUUCACUGAAAGGUGAUUGUUUGGAGACGAAGGGCAGUCAGUGGGUGCUACAGCUAGUUAUUAUUCUUCUUUUUGACAUGUAGCAUCUUGUGCCAUCGUCCUCACCACAGGACACGCUUCAGUGUCACAGGUUCCCGCCUUUCUGUAGGAUCAUCUACACUUUCUCAGGCGCUGACCUGUUGAAGAUGAGCAGAGAGGACCUGAUCCAAAUCUGUGGUCUGGCAGAUGGCAUCCAACUGUUCAAUGCCAUCAAAGGAAGUAUACCACACUCUCUAUCUAGAGGACCUAACACUGUGAGCCCUCUCAGAGAAGAUAGCUCUCCUUUUACAAUGUAACUCCCCAGCAGAUCAGCCACAUCUACAGACAAGGACCUACUGGGAUCCACGUGCUGGUCUCUGAUGAGAUGAAAAUAAUGAUGGCUACCAUGUUGUGUUGAAGUGACUAGAGGAAAGUUCUGGAGUGGAUGGUUUAAGAUCACUGUCCAAGUGUCUGGAACCUAUAGGUCUUAUUGAGGAGCAUUAGACUUUGUAACAUUAAAUGGUGCAAUUCUAUAGAUUGUUCAUAGCUCACCCUAUAUAUCAUUUUCUGUUCUGAUUCAUUUUGAUGAGAUGUGUAAUUAGUUUAUAAAACAUGGUUAAUUAUAAAUACCUUUAUUACUCCUGCAAAAUGGACAUGUUUUUUAAGUCAAUACUAUGAAAAUCAAUAUAAAAUCACUCUUAAGUCAUGUUUGUCAAAUGUAUCAUGAAGUGCUGUUCAAAGAAAUCCCAAAUACUUUACACUAGAUUGGCCUUCCUUUGGUACAAUCUAUAGUUUUUGAUUUGUUUGAUGUUACGUAUUAGAAGGCAAACAUUAUUUUCUGCAGUAUCCGUACAGUAAAUUGAGUGGGGUCUGUGGGAGCAAAAUUACAAGAUUAUGUUAUAGGAUCAAAUGGUUGUUUUAUGUAAUCUAAGGGUGGUUCGUCAACCAGCCAUCGUUAAUAUUCUGUGCUUUCCUUAUUAAUAUGUUUUGAAUAAAGUAAUAUCCUGAUUGGUGA